CACGAGGUUAGCCGGGGCUUCUUCUCCGGUUACCGUCAUUAUCUUCACCGGUGAAAGAGCUUUACAAUCCUAAGACCGUCAUCACUCACGCGGCAUGGCUGGAUCAGGCUUGCGCCCAUUGUCCAAUAUUCCCCACUGCUGCCUCCCGUAGGAGUCUGGGCCGUGUCUCAGUCCCAGUGUGGCUGAUCAUCCUCUCAGACCAGCUAUGGAUCGUCGCCUUGGUAGGCCUUUACCCACCAACUAGCUAAUCCAACGCGGGCUCAUCCUUUGCCGAUAAAUCUUUCCCCAAAAGGGCACAUACGGUAUUAGCACAAGUUUCCCUGAGUUAUUCCGUAGCAAAAGGUAGAUUCCCACGCGUUACUCACCCGUCUGCCGCUCCCCUUGCGGGGCGCUCGACUUGCAUGUGUUAAGCCUGCCGCCAGCGUUCGUUCUGAGCCAGGAUCAAACUCU
rnacentral:rRNA from 1 species